rnacentral:rRNA from 1 species
GCAUAUCAAUAAGCGGAGGAAAAGGAAACCAACAGGGAUUGCCCCAGUAACGGCGAGUGAAGCGGCAAGAGCUCAAAUUUGAAAUCUGGCCCCGUCGGGGUCCGAGUUGUAAUUUGCAGAGGAUGCUUCGGGUGCGGCCCCCCGUCUAAGUGCCCUGGAACGGGCCGCCGGAGAGGGUGAGAGUCCCGUCUGGGACGGGUGGCCGCGUCCGUGUGAAGCUCCUUCGACGAGUCGAGUUGUUUGGGAAUGCAGCUCUAAAUGGGUGGUAAAUUUCAUCUAAAGCUAAAUAUUGGCCGGAGACCGAUAGCGCACAAGUAGAGUGAUCGAAAGAUGAAAAGCACUUUGAAAAGAGAGUUAAAUAGCACGUGAAAUUGUUGAAAGGGAAGCGCUUGCGACCAGACUCGCCCGCGGGGGUUCAGCCGGCACUCGUGCCGGUGCACUCCCCCGCGGGCGGGCCAGCGUCGGUUUGGGCGGUCGGUCAAAGGCCCCCGGAAUGUGUCGCCCCUCGGGGCGUCUUAUAGCCGGGGGUGCAAUGCGGCCAGCCCGGACCGAGGACCGCGCUUCGGCAUGGACGCUGGCGUAAUGGUCGUAAGCGACCCGUCUUGAAACACGGACCAAGGAGUCUAACAUCUACGCGAGUGUUCGGGUGUUAAACCCGUCCGCGCAGUGAAAGCGAACGGAGGUGGGAACCCCUCGCGGGUGCACCAUCGACCGAUCCUGAUGUCUUCGGAUGGAUUUGAGUAAGAGCGUAGCUGUUGGGACCCGAAAGAUGGUGAACUAUGCCUGAAUAGGGCGAAGCCAGAGGAAACUCUGGUGGAGGCUCGCAGCGGUUCUGACGUGCAAAUCGAUCGUCAAAUUUGGGUAUAGGGGCGAAAGACUAAUCGAAACCAUCUAGUAGCUGGUUCCUGCCGAAG